rnacentral:rRNA from 1 species
GACGAACGCUGGCGGCGUGCCUAAUACAUGCAAGUUGAGCGCUGAAGGUUGGUACUUGUACCGACUGGAUGAGCAGCGAACGGGUGAGUAACGCGUGGGGAAUCUGCCUUUGAGCGGGGGACAACAUUUGGAAACGAAUGCUAAUACCGCAUAAAAACUUUAAACACAAGUUUUAAGUUUGAAAGAUGCAAUUGCAUCACUCAAAGAUGAUCCCGCGUUGUAUUAGCUAGUUGGUGAGGUAAAGGCUCACCAAGGCGAUGAUACAUAGCCGACCUGAGAGGGUGAUCGGCCACAUUGGGACUGAGACACGGCCCAAACUCCUACGGGAGGCAGCAGUAGGGAAUCUUCGGCAAUGGACGAAAGUCUGACCGAGCAACGCCGCGUGAGUGAAGAAGGUUUUCGGAUCGUAAAACUCUGUUGGUAGAGAAGAACGUUGGUGAGAGUGGUAAGCUCAUCAAGUGACGGUAACUACCCAGAAAGGGACGGCUAACUACGUG